AUUGAACGCUGGCGGCAUGCCUUACACAUGCAAGUCGAACGGCAGCACGGGUGCUUGCCCCUGGUGGCGAGUGGCGAACGGGUGAGUAAUACAUCGGAACAUGUCCUGUAGUGGGGGAUAGCCCGGCGAAAGCCGGAUUAAUACCGCAUACGAUCUACGGAUGACAGCGGGGGACCUUCGGGCCUCGCGCUAUAGGGUUGGCCGAUGGCUGAUUAGCUAGUUGGUGGGGUAAAGGCCUACCAAGGCGACGAUCAGUAGCGGGUCUGAGAGGACGACCAGCCGCACUGGGACUGAGACACGGCCCAGGCUUCUGCGGGAGGCAGCAGUGGGGAAUUUUGGACAAUGGGCGAAAGCCUGGUCCAGCAAUGCCGCGUGUGUUGAAGAGGCCUUCGGGGUGUAAAGCACUUUUGUCCGGAAAGAAAUCCUUGGCCCUAAUACGGUCGGGGGAUGACGGUACCGGAAGAAUAAGCACCGGCUAACUACGUG
rnacentral:rRNA from 1 species